rnacentral:rRNA from 1 species
GGCCUAACACAUGCAAGUCGAGCGGAAACGAGUUAACUGAACCUUCGGGGAACGUUAACGGCGUCGAGCGGCGGACGGGUGAGUAAUGCCUGGGAAAUUGCCCUGAUGUGGGGGAUAACCAUUGGAAACGAUGGCUAAUACCGCAUAAUGCCUUCGGGUCAAAGAGGGGGACCUUCGGGCCUCUCGCGUCAGGAUAUGCCCAGGUGGGAUUAGCUAGUUGGUGAGGUAAUGGCUCACCAAGGCGACGAUCCCUAGCUGGUCUGAGAGGAUGAUCAGCCACACUGGAACUGAGACACGGUCCAGACUCCUACGGGAGGCAGCAGUGGGGAAUAUUGCACAAUGGGCGCAAGCCUGAUGCAGCCAUGCCGCGUGUGUGAAGAAGGCCUUCGGGUUGUAAAGCACUUUCAGUCGUGAGGAAGGUGGUGUAGUUAAUAGCUGCAUCAUUUGACGUUAGCGACAGAAGAAGCACCGGCUAACUCCGUGCCAGCAGCCGCGGUAAUACGGAGGGUGCGAGCGUUAAUCGGAAUUACUGGGCGUAAAGCGCAUGCAGGUGGUUAGUUAAGUCAGAUGUGAAAGCCCGGGGCUCAACCUCGGAACUGCAUUUGAAACUGGCUGACUAGAGUACUGUAGAGGGGGGUAGAAUUUCAGGUGUAGCGGUGAAAUGCGUAGAGAUCUGAAGGAAUACCGGUGGCGAAGGCGGCCCCCUGGACAGAUACUGACACUCAGAUGCGAAAGCGUGGGGAGCAAACAGGAUUAGAUACCCUGGUAGUCCACGCCGUAAACGAUGUCUACUUGGAGGUUGUGGCCUUGAGCCGUGGCUUUCGGAGCUAACGCGUUAAGUAGACCGCCUGGGGAGUACGGUCGCAAGAUUAAAACUCAAUGAAUUGACGGGGGCCCGCACAAGCGGUGGAGCAUGUGGUUUAAUUCGAUGCAACGCGGAGGACC